rnacentral:lncRNA from 1 species
CAUACGUUUNGGCGCCAGAGAUUCAACCGUUGGUGAUUUUGGUUUACUGUGGUACAAGUUCAUGGAGUUUAAACGGGAAUUUACUUACGAAUAUAUCUUUUAAACACCCUUUUUGUUUCUCAGAGCUAUUUUUCUGUUAAUUUUAGAUUUUCAUUUUUGAAAAUCCGCUGUUUAUUCAUUCCUUUCAGGCAACAGCAACGUCAGAAGUGACUUCAUCUGGUGACAGUCCAAAAGUACUUCGAAUUCGUCAAAUAUUCUUCAAAUAUUUCCAGAAGUAGUACAACCUCGACUGGAGAAACUAUAAUUCUUGAUAGUGAUAACAUUUGGAAUGGUACAAACCUUCUAGCAGAUGUAUCAGCCAAAGCAAAAAAACCUAAACUUUACACAACUAGUUUGUUGUCAGUACUGUUUACUGAUGAAGAAAUGUGUCUUAGAUGUGUGGAACCUAAGGAAGGGGCCACAAGAAAAACAGCUCUUGACCAGAGCAAGAUCAACUUAUUAAAGAGGUGUAUCAAAGCAAAGUACGGAGAAAAGGUCCUGGACAAAGGAUGGUCAGACAUUUGUAUCGGCCUUAAUCAGAAAAAAAUUAGAAAAAAUUCAGAAAAAUUAAUGUGUGCGUUCAUAAUGUCAAAGAAAAUAUUGAGUAAAUUUGUCAUGUUUCUGUUUCAA